UACGGAGGGUGCAAGCGUUAUCCGGAUUCACUGGGUUUAAAGGGUGCGUAGGAGGGCAGGUAAGUCAGUGGUGAAAUCUCCAAGCUUAACUUGGAACUGCCGUUGAUACUAUCUGUCUUGAAUACCGUGGAGGUGAGCGGAAUAUGUCAUGUAGCGGUGAAAUGCUUAGAUAUGACAUAGAACACCAAUUGCGAAGGCAGCUACGCUACACGAAUAUGACUCUGAGGCACGAAAGCGUGGGGAUCAAAC
rnacentral:rRNA from 1 species